UUGACGGGCCCGCACAAGCAGCGGAGCGUGUGGUUUAAUUCGUUGCUACACGAAGAACCUUACCUGGGUUUGACAUAAUGGUGGUAGGGAUCCGAAAGGUGACCGACCUUCGGGGAGCCAUUUACAGGUGUUGCAUGGCUGUCGUCAGCUCGUGUCGUGAGAUGUUCGGUUAAGUCCGCUAACGAGCGCAACCCUCGCUGUGUGUUAUAUGUGUCACACAGGACUGCUGGUAUUAAGCCGGAGGAAGGUGGGACGACGUCAAGUCAGCAUGACCUUUAUAUCCAGGGCUACACACACGCUACAAUGGUCAGUACAAUGGGUUGCCAAGCCGCGAGGCGGAGCCAAUCCUAAAAAGCUGGCCUCAGUUCAGAUUGCAGUCUGAAACUCGACUGCAUGAAGUCGGAGUUGCUAGUAAACGCAGGUCAGCUAUACUGCGUUGAAUACGUUCCCGGGGCUU
rnacentral:rRNA from 1 species